rnacentral:rRNA from 1 species
AUUGAACGCUGGCGGCAGGCUUAACACAUGCAAGUCGAGCGAGCGGCGGACGGGUGAGUAAUGUCUGGGAAACUGCCUGAUGGAGGGGGAUAACUACUGGAAACGGUAGCUAAUACCGCAUACCAUCAGAUGUGCCCUGAUGGGAUUAGCGAGUAGGUGGGGUAAUGGCUCACCUAGGCGACGAUCCCUAGCUGGUCUGAGAGGAUGACCGGCAAAACGGGAACGGAGACACGGUCCAGACUCCUACGGGAGGCAGCAGUGGGGAAGAUUGCACAAUGGGCGCAAGCCUGAUGCAGCAAUGCCGCGUGAGUGAAGAAGGCCUUCGGGUUGUAAAGCACUUUCAGCGGGGAGGCGUUACCCAAAGAGGAAGCACCGGCUAACUCCGUGCCAGCAGCCGCGGUAAUAC